CGGGGUGUAGCGCAGCCCGGUUAGCGCAUCUGCUUUGGGAGCAGAGGGUCCCAGGUUCGAAUCCUGGUACCCCGACCA
rnacentral:tRNA from 1 species